rnacentral:rRNA from 1 species
ACGCUCGACACCUACGGAGGCAGCAGUGAGGAAUAUUGGUCAAUGGGCGCAGGCCUGAACCAGCCAAGUAGCGUGAAGGAUGACUGCCCUAUGGGUUGUAAACUUCUUUUAUAUGGGAAUAAAGUUUUCCACGUGUGGAAUUUUGUAUGUACCAUAUGAAUAAGGAUCGGCUAACUCCGUGACAGCACGCCGGACGGUAAUCUGAGGCGGGCGUGGACGAAGGC